CAGUGAUGCUUAAAGAUCUGUAGUAUGGUUGGACCAAAUUGUAAUUGAAAUCCUAAUGCUGGUACAGAACUAUACAGUAUUAUAUUUAAGGAUCCAGUGCCUCAUUUAAAGUAAAAUAUCAAUAAGCACAUUCUGAGGGUAAAAGGUAAACUUCUAGCGAGAGAAAGCAGAAACACCAGGGUAUUGGACAUAUACUGACAUUGAUAUAGCUAGGAUGUAAGCUUCAGAGACAGUCCUCACCUCUUGAGAGGUAUUUCUGACAGUUUGGAUUGGCAGUUCAUGAAGACCCGUAAGUUAACGUUUACCAGCUGCUUCAAAACCUGCAGGAGAGGAGCUAGUUUUUGUGCGUCCCUGGUUACAGGAUCCACCACGGCAACAACAUCGAAGUACACGUCUCCCUCCUUUGGGCGGAUCUUCACAGCACUGCCAAAAAAAUCAGCAAAUCAAUGAUGAAGCGAAUUAAACACAAACAAGAUUUUCAAGGCUGUUGCUGGGUUGAACACACUGAUUUUAAAAAUGUAUUCUGUAUUUUCAUUAAGUUUGAAGGUAACGUUUUAUACAGUAUUUGGUGAAGAUGGUCCAAUAUUUUAUUGAACCAAAAAUUCAAAAAA